AUUGAACGCUGGCGGCAGGCCUAACACAUGCAAGUCGAACGAGUGGCGGACGGGUGAGUAAUGUGUGGGAAACUGCCUGAUGGGGGGGGAUAACUACUGGAAAGGGUAGCUAACACCGCAUACCAUGGGAAGGGCCCAGAUGGGAUUAGCGAGUAGGUGGGGUAACGGCUCAUCGAGGCGACGAUCCCUAGCUGGUCUGAGAGGAUGACCAGCCACACUGGGACUGAGACACGGUCCAGACUCCUACGGGAGGCAGCAGUGGGGAAUAUUGCACAAUGGGCGCAAGCCUGAUGCAGCCAUGCCGCGUGUAUGAAGAAGGCCUUCGGGUUGUAAAGUACUUUCAGCGGGGAGGCGUUACCCACAGAAGAAGCACCGGCUAACUCCGUGCCAGCAGCCGCGGUAAUUC
rnacentral:rRNA from 1 species